CUAGAUUUAAUUUUUUUUAAUUACAGAAUUCAAUAUCAAGUCCUUGACACAUAACUGUAACACAUUUUCACAUUAAGAAACAAUUUAGUUUAAAUAAAAAGAACAAGAAAUAUCUAAAAAUAAAUAAAUUAUUUAUUAGCGAUAGGCCUACAGAUUUAUUUUUUUUUAUUUAUUUUUUUUUUUUUUUACUUUAGACUCUAAAGUUAAAAGUUUUUAUUAAGGCUAUUGUAAAGGCUUCUUAAAAAUGAUGUCGCUGAUGAGCCUCUGAUCGCUGUCAGAUUCUGUGAUAUGAAUGUCCGCUAAUGGGUUUAGAAUGAGCCCCGCUCGGCCCGUGUUCUGGCUUACUGUAAUAUUUCACCUGUAAUAAGACCGAAAUAAUAUAAUUAAAAUAAAGAAAUGAAUGAAUACAUGAUAACAUCUAAAUAAAUGUUGAUAGAUUUAGCGUUAUAGUUUUAAAAAUAUUAAUAAACAGCAAAUCAACACAGAAAGACCUAAAUAAUAAUAAUACAUAAUUAAUAAACAGCGCCGCCCCUCCCACUACGCGCAUCACGCGCUGUGCGUCAACCCCAAAGCGUCAAAAACUGAAGCGUGGUCAAGCGCCUCUAGCGUCACUGACAUGAGAUGUUUAUCGCUUUGAAAUCACGUUCAAGAAGUCUCAUUCAGCACACAUCGCGAUACUUUCCAUCAGUUUGCAAGAGCCGCAGGUUGGGUGAGUUAUACAGUCUAUGGUGAGUAGUAGUAAAUAUGCUAUUUUAAUGCCUGUCCUAAAACGUAUUCUGUCUUCUUUAUUAAUCAGAUGAGCGCCUUAUGUUUACUCUCUGUAUUACAUCGGUCAUCCGAGGCUGUCUUUGAGUUUCAUUGUGUUUAACUAAAUGAACACAGCUGCUAACUGGUUAAACUCUAUCGGUCACGUGACGUGACGUGACGUGCCACAGACCUGGGAUCCGUUUUAUAUUCAUUUCAGGUUCAAAGAUCUGAAAAGACGUAAAGUAAGCAGUCACCCCAGUGGUGUUUGUGGAGAGGUAUUCCUUCAGAAAUGGAGAAGACAGAAAGCUGCAGAGGCAGGAUUGUUUCCAGAUAACACUGUAGUUCUCCGUCAUGCACAAGGAUUCACCUCUUUAACCCCCCCCCCCCC